rnacentral:lncRNA from 1 species
CUGAACGCUGACUGGGCACUGAAUCUAAGUCUCCUGGCAGUGAUCAGGCUCCAGAUGUGUCCUCAGCUGCCUGCAGUGGAGUCCAAUCAUUGUGAGUCUUCCAAUCUGAGUCCUAGCCUCUAACAAUCUCCAAGACAAGGCUAGAAUGAUGGAAGAGAAGAUGGGAAAAUAUAAGAACGUUCUCCAAUUCAAUUCAAUUACUACAAGACAGGGAGGAGCCUCAAGAUUACUUCCACCAACAAGUGGCAGCUGAGAUGUCCCCAGGUCCCCCAGAAGCUACUGUGGUCAUUUACAGUCUACUUGGAGCCCUCAUGCACCUAAGAAAAUAAAAACCACCACCAGCUGAAUGACCCCGGGCAAAAUCCCUAAUCCUGGUCCUCAAGUUCUGCUUUUGUAAAGGGAAUGAGUAA